UGGGGAAUAUUGGGCAAUGGGCGAAAGCCUGACCCAGCAACGCCGCGUGAAGGAAGAAGGUUUUCGGAUUGUAAACUUCUUUUAUCAGGGACGAAGAAAGUGACGGUACCUGAUGAAUAAGCCACGGCUAACUACGUGCCAGCAGCCGCGGUAAUACGUAGGUGGCAAGCGUUAUCCGGAUUUACUGGGUGUAAAGGGCGUGCAGCCGGGUCUGCAAGUCAGAUGUGAAAUCCAUGGGCUCAACCCAUGAACUGCAUUUGAAACUGUAGAUCUUGAGUGUCGGAGGGGCAAUCGGAAUUCCUAGUGUAGCGGUGAAAUGCGUAGAUAUUAGGAGGAACACCAGUGGCGAAGGCGGAUUGCUGGACGAUAACUGACGGUGAGGCGCGAAAGUGUGGGGAGCAAACAGGGUUAGAUACCCUGGUAGU
rnacentral:rRNA from 1 species